UCCUCGAAUCUCACAUUUUAAAGUGUUCUUGUCAAGCCAAGCUUUCAGUAACCUUUGCCUCUCUUAUGCAGGUAUUGCUCUAUGCUUCGCUACUUUGGUUUAGAAGAAUCUCUGGAAUUCCCACGGACCAUGAACUUCACCGGACAUCUUACCUGGCUGGCAGUCCGAACGGAUCAGUGUACCGCUCCAGCCGCGAAUCCUGUCCACCCCUCCUCAAAGGAUUAUUUCCCUGGCUCCUGCCGACAUCGUUCUCUGGAUCAGCUCUCAGUCCUGAUGCGUCCUCUCCCUGGUGGAUACCGACGCCCCAUCACCCAGACCAGCCUUCAUGGUUACCAGAUCCUCAUUCCUGUCUUUAAAUAAAAUAAUUUAAAUGUUC